CAGAGGUCCCAAGCGUUGUUCGGAUUCACUGGGCGUAAAGGGUGCGUAGGUGGCUUUGUAAGUUUGAUGUGAAAUCUCCGGGCUUAACCCGGAAAAUGCAUUGAAUACUACAGGGCUGGAGGAUUGGAGGGGGGACUGGAAUUCUCGGUGUAGCAGUGAAAUGCGUAGAUAUCGAGAGGAACACCAGUGGCGAAGGCGAGUCCCUGGACAACACCUGACACUGAGGCACGAAAGCUAGGGGAGCAAACAGGAUUAGAUACCCUGGUAGUCCUAGCCCUAAACGGUGCACGUUUGCUGUAAGAGGAAUCGACCCCUUUUGUGGCGAAGCUAACGCGAUAAACGUCCCGCCUGGGGAGUACGGCCGCAAGGUUG
rnacentral:rRNA from 1 species